rnacentral:rRNA from 1 species
AUGUGGAUGAAUCUGAUAAAAAAAUUCAGAAGAGAUGAAUUUGGGCGCAUGUGGCCAGCAGCAAGAUCCUACACCACACAGACACAUUCCUAUCACCUUGGUAAGAUAUUGGCAUCAUGUAGUGAUAAUGAAUUUGCUUCAUGGUUGAACACCCACCAUUAUCUGUUGUGGUAUAGAUCAGGUUUUAAUACUGCCAUAAAAUGUGAUCAUAUCAAUAACAACUUGGCAAAAAGUUUUAACAACAAAGUGAAGGAUUUGAAAGACUUGCCUGUGGAUGACAUGGUGGACCAAAUAAGGAUCAUGAUCAUGCGUUUGCGGGAGUUGAGAGGAAAAAUUGCUAAUAUUUUGGAAGGGGACAAGCUUCCAGCAGUGGUACAACAGGUGGUCAACAGGAGUAGAAAUCUCUCACAUCUAUCUAUUGAGAAAUCUUCCUUGUGGGGUGCUGAAGUUAGAGAUACAAAGAGUGGCAAGAGGCAUGUGGUAAAUACUGAGUUGCAUGAGUGCACUUUCCAAGAGUGGCAACACACUGGAAAACCAUGUGAGCAUUUCAUACUUUUUUGGCAUCUAAACCCAGGUUAA